rnacentral:rRNA from 1 species
AAUGAACGUUGGCGGCGUGGAUUAGGCAUGCAAGUCGAACGGACCAUGAGUAGCAAUACUUAUGGUCAGUGGCGUAAGGGAGAGUAAUACGUAGGUAUUUACCCUGGGGUCUGGGAUAGCGGCGGGAAACUGCCGGUAAUACCAGAUGAUAUCUCCGGAUCAAAGGUGUGAUUCCGCCCUAGGAGAAGCCUGCGGUCUAUUAGCUAGUUGGUAGGGUAACGGCCUACCAAGGCAGAGAUGGAUAUGGGGCGUGAGAGCGUGCCCCCACUCACUGGGACUGAGACACUGCCCAGACACCUACGGGUGGCUGCAGUCGAGAAUCUUCGGCAAUGGGCGCAAGCCUGACCGAGCGACGCCGCGUGCGGGAUGAAGGCCUUCGGGUUGUAAACCGCUGUCGAAGGGGAGGAAAUGCUAGUGGGUUCACCCAUUAGUUUGACCGAUCCUUGGAGGAAGGGCCGGCUAAUCUCGUGC